rnacentral:rRNA from 1 species
UAACAAGGAUUCUCUUAGUAACUGCGAGUGAAGGGGGAAGAGCUCAAAUUUGUAAUCUGGUGGUCUAUGGCCAUCCGAGUUGUAAUCUGUAGAGGCAUCAUCCGUGUCGGCCCAUGUAUAAGUCUCCUGGGAUGGAGUGUCAUAGAGGGUGAGAAUCCCGUCCAUGACAUGGAUCACCGAUGCUUUGUGAGGUGCCCUCGAAGAGUCGUGUUGUUUGGGAAUGCAGCGCAAAUUGGGUGGUAAAUUCCAUCUAAGGCUAAAUAUUGGCGAGAGACCGAUAGCGAACAAGUACCGUGAGGGAAAGAUGAAAAGCACUUUGAAAAGAGAGUUAAACAGUAUGUGAAAUUGUUGAAAGGGAAACACUUGAAGUCAGUCGUGUUCUGUGGCACUCAGCCUUGCUUUGGCUUGGUGUACUUGCCUUGGGAUGGGUCAACAUUAAUUUCGGCCGGUGGACAAGGGUGAGGGGAACGUAGUGUUGUUUUGGCAACGUAUUAUAGCCUCUUGUUAAAUACACCGGCUGGGAUUGAGGAUCGCAGCACACCUUUGUGGACAGGGGUUCACCUCAUGUAAUGUGCUUAGGAUGUUGGCAUAAUGGCUUUAAGUGACCCGUCUUGAAACACGGACCAAGGAGUCUAACAUGCUUGCGAGUGUUUGGGUGGAAAACCCUUGUGCGUAAUGAAAGUGAAAGUUGGGAGCCUCUGUAAGGGGGUGCACCGAUGCCUGGCCCUGAUGUUCUCUGACGGUGCUGCGGUAGAGCAAGUAUGUUGGGACCCGAAAGAUGGUGAACUAUGCCUGAAUAGGGUGAAGCCAGAGGAAACUCUGGUGGAGGCUCGUAGCGAUUCUGACGUGCAAAUCGAUCGUCAAAUUUGGG